GACGAACGCUGGCGGCGCGCCUAACACAUGCAAGUCGAACGAGCGAGAGAGAGCUUGCUUUCUCGAGCGAGUGGCGAACGGGUGAGUAACGCGUGAGGAACCUGCCUCAAAGAGGGGGACAACAGUUGGAAACGACUGCUAAUACCGCAUAAGCCCACGGUGCCGCAUGGCACAGAGGGAAAAGGAGCAAUCCGCUUUGAGAUGGCCUCGCGUCCGAUUAGCUAGUUGGUGAGGUAAUGGCCCACCAAGGCGACGAUCGGUAGCCGGACUGCGAGGUUGAACGGCCACAUUGGGACUGACACACGGCCCAGACUCCUACGGGAGGCAGCAGUGGGGAAUAUUGCACAAUGGGGGAAACCCUGAUGCAGCGACGCCGCGUGGAGGAAGAAUGUCUUCGGAUUGUAAACUCCUGUUGUUGGGGAAGAUAAUGACGGUACCCAACAAGGAAGUGACGGCUAACUACGUG
rnacentral:rRNA from 1 species